UACGUAGGGUGCAAGCGUUAAUCGGAAUUACUGGGCGUAAAGCGUGCGCAGGCGGUUGUGCAAGACCGAUGUGAAAUCCCCGGGCUUAACCUGGGAAUGGCAUUGGAAACUGGCGGGCUUGAGUGCGGCAGAGGGGGGUGGAAUUCCGCGUGUAGCAGUGAAAUGCGUAGAGAUGCGGAGGAACACCGAUGGCGAAGGCAGCCCCCUGGGUCGACACUGACGCUCAGGCACGAAAGCGUGGGGAGCAAACAGG
rnacentral:rRNA from 1 species